GAAAAGUUAGUUAAAUUAUAACAGAACUUUGUCAAGGUUCAAUUACUCCCUAGAGUACUUUUCU
rnacentral:tRNA from 1 species